rnacentral:rRNA from 1 species
AUUGAACGCUGGCGGCAUGCCUUACACAUGCAAGUCGAGCGCGAAAGGGGGCAACCCCGAGUAGAGCGGCGGACGGGUGAGUAACGCAUCGGAACGUGCCCAGUAGUGGGGGACAACCUCGAGAAAUCGAGGCUAAUACCGCAUACGACCCACGGGUGAAAGCGGGGACCGCAAGGCCUCGCGCUAUUGGAGCGGCCGAUGUCCGAUUAGCUAGUUGGCGGGGUAAGAGCCCACCAAGGCGACGAUCGGUAGCUGGUCUGAGAGGACGACCAGCCACACUGGGACUGAGACACGGCCCAGACUCCUACGGGAGGCAGCAGGUGGGGAAUUUUGGACAAUGGGGGCAACCCUGAUCCAGCCAUGCCGCGUGCGGGAAGAAGGCCU